rnacentral:rRNA from 1 species
AACGAACGCUGGCGGCAGGCCUAACACAUGCAAGUCGAGCGCCCCGCAAGGGGAGCGGCAGACGGGUGAGUAACACGUGGGAACGUGCCCGAAGGUACGGAACAACUCCGGGAAACUGGAGCUAAUACCGUAUGUGACCGAGAGGUGAAAGAUUUAUCGCCUUCGGAUCGGCCCGCGUCUGAUUAGCUAGUUGGUGGGGUAAUGGCCUACCAAGGCGAGGAUCAGUAGCUGGUCUGAGAGGAUGAUCAGCCACACUGGGACUGAGACACGGCCCAGACUCCGACGGGAGGCAGGAGUGGGGAAGCUUGGACAAUGGGCGCAAGCCUGAUCCAGCCAUGCCGCGUGGAUGAUGAAGGCCCUAGGGUUGUAAAAUCCUUUCGUCAGGGACGAUAAUGACGGUACCUGAAGAAGAAGCCCCGGCUAACUUCGUGCCAGCAGCCGCCGUAACAC